AGGGAGCUAGUCCAAGAUAAGACCUCUGAUUUCGGCUCAGAAGAUCAUGGUUUAAUUCCAUGCCUCCCUU
rnacentral:tRNA from 1 species